rnacentral:rRNA from 1 species
UACAGAGGUGGCAAGCGUUGUUCGGAAUUACUGGGCGUAAAGGGCGCGUAGGCGACCUUCUAAGUCAGACGUGAAAUCCCCCGGCUUAACCUGGGAACCGCGUCUGAUACUGGGAGGCUUGAGUAUGGGAGAGGGAUGUAGAAUUCCAGGUGUAGCGGUGAAAUGCGUAGAUAUCUGGAGGAAUACCGGUGGCGAAGGCGGCAUCCUGGACCAUUACUGACGCUGAGGCGCGAAAGCUAGGGGAGCAAACGGG